GCGCCCUCUGCUGUCCAAAUAUUGACCGGACAAAUGUGUUCUCUCUCUGCUCAUUUCGUCCAGCAGGGGACCGAGCAGAGGGAAUCUGGAGGAAAGAAAGAAGAAAUCCAGAGAUCUGAGUCAGCAGCGGCUCCAGUUUGCUUCUUCCCACUUCCGUGGGUCCAUUUCAGCUCUGAUCGCCAUCAAACCAACACGCUAAUGCUUAGCAGUGAACACACCUGGGUCUCCAUCUUCCGAUAAGAAGCAUCCGUGGAAGGAAUGAAAACGAGCUCAGACACAGAAGAGAGAGAGAAGAGUCUGUCUCGACGAGACGCUUUGAUGAACAAGAGGAUUAAAACAGAUCGCCACACUCACCACACGCCCCUGUGCUAAACAUUUACCUCCAAGCUUCAUGUCCGUCCGAGUUUCAGCCAUGAGUGUUCUUCCUCCUGUUCGAAGGGACCGUAUCAUCGCUCAGCUCCCUCAGUAUUUUAGGAAAGAUGCAGCUCUCCACAUUAAGGAGGAUUUCAACAACAAAGUGAAGACUGCGUGUCAGGAGCAGCGUACCGGCACUGUGGGCAGAUUUAAAAUCUCUAAGGUCAUUGUUGUGGGCGAUCUGGCUGUGGGGAAAACCUGUCUGAUUAAUAGGUUUUGCAAAGACGCUUUUGAUAAAAACUACAAGGCAACGAUCGGCGUUGACUUUGAGAUGGAGCGCUUUGAGGUGCUGGGCGUUCCUUUCAGCCUACAGCUCUGGGACACUGCAGGCCAAGAGAGAUUCAAGUGCAUUGCUUCAACAUACUACAGAGGAGCCCAGGUUGUGAUUAUCGCAUUUGAUGUAAAUGACGUCGCGUCUUUGGGCCAUGUGAGACAGUGGCUGGAGGACGCCCUGAAAGAGAACGACCCCACCGCCGUUCAGCUGUUCCUCGUGGGCACAAAGAAAGACCUGAGCAGGGCUUCUCCUGUCCUUCCUGAGUCACUCCCUUGCAGUGCAGGACAUUUCUCCUGCUCAGUAUUCUCAGAUCGAACAAGAUGCUCUCAAACUAGCACAAGAGAUCAGAGCAGAGUAUUGGGCUGUGUCGUCACUCACAGGGGAAAACGUCAAAGAGUUUUUCUUUCGAGUUGCAUCGUUGGCAUUUGAGACCAACGUUCUUGCGGAGUUGGAGAAAAGUGGAUCGAGGCAAAUUGGGGGCAUCGUCAGAAUUAACAGCACGUCAAACAAUGCGUACGCUUCAUCGAAGAAGAAGCAGCCGAACUGCUGCCAGUAAGGAUGGAAGCAGGAGUUGAAAGUCAAAAGUAAAGACUGAAAUGAAGAAAAAGACUGGAGGGAUUUCUGUGGUCAAAGCAGGAGGAGGGAGGCUGGAGUUUUAACUUCCUGACAUGUGAGAGUUUAGUUUUUCCUGGCUUAGAACCAGUUUUCCCUCUGUGGGAUGUGGAUUCUUCUGGCCUUGCUCAGUUUAACUUGUCUGGAGUUACAGGGUGACACAGCAGUUCCACAAAAAUGACUGUUCUGGUACAGCAGAGAGGCCAAAGAAUGUUUUUUAAUAUGUUGCUCAAACUGUCUCGCUGCUGUAGUUUGCAAAUUAAGAUUUUUCUUCACACUAAUACUGUUUUAAAUGACUGUGUUUACUUGGUACUUAAUCCUCUUUUCAUAAUAUUGUAGAUCAGACAUUCCCAACCUUUCUGUAAGAAGUAAGACUAUGCAAAUCACAAGAAAAAAGCAAAGAUUUGAAGAUAGUCUGAAAAAAUAAACAGAAUUUUGCGUAGCAGGAA